UUCACAACAGUUUAACAAAACUCUUUAAUAAAAUUCAUAAAAAUGCAUCUUAGAGAACAGUUCCGAUUGCUUGCCUUUUCCACUCCCCACAAAAUACAAAAUUAUCAGCACCCACACACAUAUACACUCAAACUACAUACAAAGGGCACGCUAUCAACAUUAGACAAUUAAACUACAGAGAAACCAACAGUUCUCACAGUUGAUUGCAGUCAUCAUUUGCUUCCAAAAUUAUGUGAGUACAGCAAUUUCAAUGAAAAGUCUCAAGGGCCUUGCCUCCCUUUUCCCAUCAGAGUGGUGUUUUCUUCCUGCUUUCUGAGAAAAUGCACAAUCUCUAAUAUUCUCAGUUUUCUUUUUUGGUUUUCCAAGACAGAGUUUCUGUGUAGCCCUGGCUGUCCUGGAAUUCACUUACUAUACCAGGCUGACCUUGAACUCAGAGAGAUCUGAGACUGUCUCUGCCUCCCGAGUGCCGGGAUUAAAGGCGUGCACCAACACACCCAGCAUAGUCUCAGUUUUCUAUUUGUACUUAAGAUUGGGCAACUCAGGAUCUUGGCUGAGGAUGGUGUAGGCGAUGGCAGCAUUGUAGGUGUUUAUGUCAUCGUCUGCAUCAGUGGCUGAGACCUGCAUCACGGAGGUUCCUGUCAAA
rnacentral:lncRNA from 1 species